AAGAUCUCUCACAUUUUUUCUUAAUUUCCAUUAAGUCCUUGUCCAUGUUUUCCCUUAAGUAUUUGAGCAUAUUUAGCCAAUUGUUUUAAAGUCUUCUAGUAAAUCUGAUGUUUUGGCUGCUUUGAGGAUAGUUUCUGUCAAUUUACUUUUUUUUUGAACUGUGUUUUCCUGCAACAUUGUACGCUGUGUGUGUGUGUGUGUGUGUGUGUGUUGCUAUUGUUAAAACUGAACAUUUGAUAGUUGUUAUUUGGCAGCUCUGGCAAUCAGGAUUUGUUUUUACUUUUGUUUUGUUUUGUGUCAGUUGUUGAAGGCCAUGGUAGUGUGUUUGUUUGGGAAAUUUUUUUUCCAAUUUUAUUUGUGGGGGAAUGUUAUUUCUUUUUAUAUGUGCUCAUUUAAGUGUGUUGUUUUAAUUCAUGUCCAGUUGAUGUCUUGAUGAUGAUUUCCUGGAAUGUGAAAGAAAACAAACAACACACACACAAACACACACACACACAAAUAGAGAGAGAAAUAACCAUGUUUCCCAAUCUUUGCAGACUGGCUCUGUGCUGGGGCCAACAUUCACAGACUCUCUGUGUGGUUUGCUCUGAGCCCAGAGAGAAACCUCACCUGCAGGGUCAAGUCUUCUCAAGACUGUUUUGAGACUCCAUCUUAUCUGGACAUGUGUGUGACUUUCUAAAAAUCUCCAUAUAUGCGGUGACUUUGAAAUGUUCCAAUCUCCCAGAGUCUUGCCUCAGCUCCUCCUGUGGGCCUUAGAUACCCAGUUGUGAACCUCCACACAGCAUCUCUCAUCUCAGGCAUCCGUGGGUUUGCAGUCCUUUCAUAGCCUUUAUCAGCAGUGCCCACCCGUUUUCCAUCUGUGUUCUGAGUUGUGCAAGACACAGACCAGUGAGUCAGUCCUUCAGAUAUUCCUGGACAACUUAGAAUAGAGUGCACUCUAAUUUUCAGAGUAGUCCUGGAAACUGGAAGGUUUGCCACUGCUCGAAACCAAGAUGUUGCUACCCUACCAGGGAGUGAGUGGGGGCAAGGAUGUACGGAAAUGCCACAAAACACUCCUACUAUUUUAAAGGAAGCUGUCAGUUGCUUGGAGCUAUCAAUCUGACAUACUCUCUGGUUCUACAUGGAGACUAAAAUACCAUUUCAGUCCCUAUCCCAACAUUUCUCAAAUCAUGUAACGGUUUGUGCACCUCCCCUGCAGAGGAACGGAAGAAUGGGAUAAGGGCUUCUUCCUUUUUCCCAGACUCGGCAAUCUGCAUGAGGUUUAUAGUAACCAAGCCUCCACGCCACAGUGUGGGAAGUGAAUUUAUCCCAAAUCCCCGAGAAGGAAGAAAGGAAUCUGAAAUCCCGAGCAGUGAAGGAUCCUUCCUGUGGCUGUAUAAUCAGGAUAUGGCAUGCUGGAAGGGGGGACAUAUGAAGAGAUCUGGCUCUCCACCCACUCUCCUGCUCUUCCUUCGGUUGUGACUGGCUAAUAACUACUUCUUACAUUCAGGUACACUUAUGUCUUAGCCUUUCCAACCCUCACAUAUCUGCAGAGAGCAUCGUGGAAAUCUGCAACUAAGAUACAGAGGGGACGCUCGUUCUGAAUAAAGAGGCACAGGCUCCAGGAGCUCCAGAGGUGGGUACACAGAGGACUGCGCAGUGCCAGGAUCCCAGCAAGGGACAGCAUACUGCCCACUGGUGAUGGUUAGCUCACCUUUAGUGAGGCGCUCCCAUGAGCUGGGUACUGUGCAGGUGCUGAAGUUCUGUGCCGUGUUGACCAAAAGCACUUGACAACAGCAUGGACUCUUGGCCCAAAAUGGCUUUCAAGAACUGUAUGUGUCAGCACUACAUUCACCUGCAUCCAUGCAAAUAGGUCAAGUGGUGCCAUGGCCAGACAUCUGGUUGUAAAUGGGACCUUCACAUGCCCAUGAUCAUGGCGUCUAUGAUCUUCCCAGGAAAUGCAGGGUGAUUCGCCACGUGUGUGCUUCACAGGAAGUGAAAGAGUAAGCUUGCCAUUUCUUCUGGCAUUUGCUUUUAGAUCUGCUGACUAGACCCAGCAGAUUCCAGGGAGAGUGGUGGGAGAAAAGCAGGGGAGAGGGACACAAAAUAGAAGAGGGGUGGCAGAGGCCCUUGAUCAAUUUUGCAAUUUAUCAAAAGAUAAAGUGUGGGAGAGGCAUUUUACAAUUUAUCAUAACAUGAGCUCAAGGACUUCAUUUUUAAAAAAAGUUUGCUAUCUCAUUCAAUUAUCAUUAAAAACACUCUAAAGGAAACCCACCAUUCCCAUUUUACAGCUAAAGAAACAGACAUUCAGAGACUCUAAGUUUCGACAGCUAAGGUGUGAAUUCUAGAUAGAGCUAUUCCAACGCUAGCACUCCUUAUAAAUAUAAAGCUGAUCUUUAUGAGUGUUAACUAUAAGCAAGGUUACCAUGCUAAAUAUUUUAAUUCAGUCUUUCAGUUGCCUUGUGAAACAAGCAGUAUCCUAACUUCUAUUUUUCUGACAAGCAAACCAAGGUGUGGAGAGUAGCAGGUAACUUGCCCAAGGUUAACUUGCCCAUGAUAAGCAGAAGUACCCGGAUGCAGACUGACGCCAGGGCCAUCACCUCCCCACACCAUCUGUGCUUAUCACUCAGCAUGUGACUCCAGACUCAACCUAGCCUCUCGAUGACUGAAUCUAUCCCCGGGAACCUUCAGAAUGAUGGGCUGGGCUCGGGGUACCAUAGGAGUUCUAGGUAUGGGGGGGGGGGCAUCUUGCAAAAUCCCCUUUCUACCCUCCUGAACAGCGCAUCCCAUCGGGAUGGAUGCUUCCUCAGCUCAGUCUUGGCCCAGUGUCCAGGCAGAAGUGGGCCAUGAACUUUAUCAUGGCUGACCUCCUGGUUGCAGAGUUACAGGGGGGCCACAUUUGCCUCUGUUCCUGGCAGCUUCUUGGAGCACCCCCAUGUCUCAGCAACCCAUCUGAUUGGGUCAGGAAGCCUCUCUGCGAGACACCAUCUCAACUUCCCACAUCCACGUGGCCAGUCUGGGCUCUCCGUGGAGAAACCGGAGAACUGGGAGAGCCAGGCUGGGCCCCCUGAGAAGAAGACAGAGGGAGGUUUCCCCAGAGCGCUCUUCCCCCGUCGCUCACCCCCACCCUUGCUAAGAUGGCUCCCAGGUCCUCUGCCGCCCUGCCAACCAGCCAACUUCCUGUUCUCCAAGGAUUCCGUGAGUUAACACCACCAGCCUCUCGUCCAUUCCUGAAAGGGAACCCUGAUUUUCACAGCCUGGUGCUGUAUUUAUGUUCCUUUGAAGCCCGAUUGUGAGCCGGUGUUUUUCCAGAUAAAGGUAUUUAAUUUCCUCGGAGUUCACCAGCCACCUUUCUGUCUGGCGAUGGUUCUGCAAAGCCUCCGGUAAUCCAAUCUCCUUGAAUUGGGAUGCCGGCCUCCACGGACUGGCUAGCGAUAUUUCUUUUUAUAGGAGCUGAGUGAGAAAAUAAAUAAAUAAAAUAAGAGCUUUUGAAGAGGAAAGACUGAAGAAAAUGAAACAGCCUGGCACGAAGCCUGCUCUCUUUUGUAACCUGCGGUCUUCCGCGUGAUCUGCCAUUGCGUUUUCCAGCGUGCAGGAAGGUGGAUGGUCACCACGAUGUAGGCAGGCAAAGUAAGGGGAGAGGAAGUGAAGGGGCGAGGCUGUGGCCCUGGCCAGAGCCAUCAACGGACUUGGCAAAAAGGCUCAGGAUGGGUGGCACCACCCCAGUGUUAGAGUUCUCUGGAAUCUGGCAGUGAUGUUGGAACUCUAAUAUUGGGUUAGAAGGAGGGAGAGCACCGGUUCCUUUUCUUUACAAUGUCUCCCAUUUUGAUAGGAUACAAAAGUAGAACAGGAUUCUGUUAGGCACCCUAGUGUUGUCUGGUAUGUUCUAACGGAACCAAACUGCCUAGAGCCACACUGGCUCUCAGAGGUCUCGGGAAAGGACCCCCUCCCUGUCCCCUUCACCUCCAGUACUCUCUGCUUGUUCCCUCUUCCUCUUGUUCCUUUAGGCACAUGUGACAGCCGACUGCUGCGAAUUCCAAGAAGAGAGCUCCUGCAGGAGCUGCUGUGGAAGGCCAAUCAAAGCCUCUGUCCUGAGUCCCACUGGAGACCCAGGGAGACGAUGCUCCUGCGGCUCCAAUCCCGGCGACCACUUCAAGGAAGGGAUCUUUCGGGUCCUGCUGGCCCUGUCUGCACGAGUCUCUUGAGCACACAGCAGUCUGAUAGCUGAUUACCCACAGAGACCCAGCAGUGCUGCUUCCCAUCUCAGGCUGGGGUGUCGUGCUUGGCUUGAGGAAGGUCACGUGGAGGAGUUUCAUUUGGCCAAAAAGCCUUUUGGCCUCGCAGUAAGGUUUGCCUGGGCUCCAGCCAUGGCAGAAAUGGGGUCAGCAUGUUAAACUGGCAGUGGGUGCUAUGGCUGAGAUGGCAGCGGAAACCCUGGCUUCACCGGACAGCUUCACCCUGGGAUGUCACCUCUUAUUAAACAGCUCACCCGCGGCUCCAGGGGACACGUGCAGACAGGCAAGUCGGCAGAGGCUGGCGCACGGCACCUGGGCAGGGUGCUGCUCCUGUUUCUUUCCGCUUUUCCUCUGCUCAGUUCUCUUCUGCACACCAGGAAGCACUUGGCCCCCACCCCACGUGCAGGGCAGAGGCCUCCUGUUCACUCCUUGCCACCUGAUCCCUCUCUCUGUCUCCCCUCGCCCUCUGUCUGAGUCCCUGUUGUCAGCUCAGUCUUCCCAAACCCCUGUGGAAUGGGGAAGAAUUUCCAAAGCUAACAAUUGCAAGCCUUAUAACUUCAUUGUCCUAUAAACAAACCUAAUUGCUGCCUCAAACUUCCAUUUCCACCCAAUUGUCAAAGACAUAGAGACUUUUCAGUCAUUUUAGGUUUAAAUGCACUGUUUUGCCCAUUCCCUGUAAUUUCUGGGGUAUAUCUUGGGCCUGGGGAGGAGGACUGUUGGAUGCCAUCCCACAGGGUAGGGACAGGUAUCUGGUCAGACACUGGAUUCUACUUCAUUCCCCAUACCCUUGUCUGGGGCCUUGGAAAAACUCAGGCCACUCACUGGGCCCUCUCUGUCCUGGGUCCCCACAUGCCAUGACUCACACCCUACUCCAACAUGGCAUGACACUUACUUGCCCAACUCCAGAAGUAACUAGAACUCUCCUUAUCAUUCUUGGACUCCCCAGCUAAUUCCAGAAAUAAUAUCUACCCCUCUUCAGCCCCCAGCGAGGCACAAGUUUCCUUCUGCAUUCUCACAGGUCCUGGCCAGAGCGCACUUUUCCGCUCCCUAACUUGUAUUGUCUACUGUGUGCCCAGCUUCCUUUGCUAUUCCAAAACACUUCCCUAGCAAGUCAAACACCCUGCCUUCCAAGAACACUGUCCCUGCUACGAGUGAUAAGAAUGUGUUUUGGAAACCUGAAGUCCUCAUUUGACUUCGUUUCUCCCAAGGCAAUGAUUGCUCCCUGGGACCAAGAAUGCCACUAAGAGCUCAGAAUUCCGUCCCCAGCACCAGCUUUCCUGCCGUCACCCCUCACCCGGGAACCCUGGAUGGGCUCUCAAACUGAGUCCAGUGCACUGCUGGGGCCAGAGCAUGUGGCAACGCGAUGGCGGCUUCCUGGGACACUAAAUUUUACUUGGCUUUUAGGACAAAAUGCAAGUCUUUAAGAAAAUGCCUAGUGUGGUGGGCUGCUUUGGACUACGUCCCAGAUCCUCAAGAGCUCACAUCUCAUCUCUCUCUGCUCUUGGCUCCUUCUGUGAGGAUGUUUGAGACACAACAGCUUGCGGUCCAAAUGCGUUCACUCAGUUUCCAAUGCCCUCGUACCUCCAGUCUCAUCCUACUUAUCCAAACCAAGUUCUGAGUGUGGCAACUGCCCUACCAACAAUCUCAAAGCAGCAAUGCCGGAAGGAUGCUUCAAGGUCAAGGUCAAAUGUUCCUGCGAAGCCGUCCCUGAUCCUGCCUCGGAAACAACCACUUUCUCCUCUGUGCCUCUGAAUACUUUCUUCAUGGCUCUGUUACAGCAACGAUUAGUGCGUCUCACUAGACUCCAAACCUCUCGAAGGCAGGGCUGCACCUUACUCCCUUUCCUAACUUCCUGCCUGGUACCCAGGGGUUUACAAUCAUGUCUGCUGAGUGAAUGCAGUGAGGGCUACAUGAACGUCUUCCCUUGCUUGGGAGGAAAAGCCAGAGCUGCCUAGCCAGGAGGACCUUGCAAUGCUUGUCCAUUCAUUCGUUUGCUGUCCAUUCUUUCAUCAACUACUGAUGUCAGAUGAUGUGCUGGACACUGGGGACAAAAUGCAAAAGACUGCAUCCCUGCCCUUGAAUGAAAAUCUCAACAGACACAAAAUAAAUGUCCUGAGUGUUGGUUUUUGAAGAGCUACUUAGCCUUAAGGAGCACACAUGGACGGACCUACUGGCAGCCGGGAGCACAGUCAACUCUCUCCUUGUACUUUAAUUGCUCCUUUAGGCCUAGAUUUGGAAUGAAAUUAGUUUCGAUCUCCAGUGUGCCAGGCAUGCUGUGGAGUGCUCAGUAUGAUUUUUCUCACUCAGUGCUCACAACAGCCCUGGGAGGUGUCCAUGCAGUUAUGACCUCUAUCUUCCAGAGAAGGAAACUGAGGCUCACAGGUGUUCCACCGUGUCUGUUCCAACUAGACCAUUUAUGGAGGGGUCCAUCUGACCCAAGGCUUGUCAUCUCAGAUUUCUGACGAAACUUCCUUGGGGGGCCGCACAGGGGCAGUGGAUUAAGCCGCCACCUGCAGUGCUGGCAUCAUUUAUUGGGGCAGAGUUCCAGUGUGAGUCUCAGCGGCCCCACUUCCAAUCCAGCUCCCUGCUAAUGCACUUGUGGAGGUAGCAGAAGACGCCCCAGGUAAUUGGGUUCUUGAAACCCAUGUGGGAGACCAGGAUGGAGUUCCUGGCUGCUGGAUUUGAUCUGGUCCAGCCCCAGCUGUUGUGGCCAUUUGGGGAGUGAACCAGCGAAUGGAAGGUCUCUCUCUUUCUCUGUUACUCUGCCUUUCAGAUAAAUAAAUAAAUCUUUUUUUAAAAAAAUCUGCUUUUGGGAGCAGGGCCAUCCUAAGAGCUGUUGGUAGAACCAACAUGUGGGGGCUGGUGCUGUGGCGCAGCAGGUUAAAGCCCUGGCCUGAAGCGCUGGCAUCCCAUAUGGGUGCCGGUUCUAGUCCCGGCUGCUCUUCUUCCAAUCCAGCUCUCUGCUAUGGCCUGGGAAAGCAGUAGAAGAUGGCCCAAGUCCUUGGGCCCCUGCACCCACGUGGGAGACCCGGAGGAGGCUCCUGGCUCCUGACUUCAGAUGGGUGCAUCUCUGGCCAUUGAGGCUAUUUGGGGAGUGAACCAGCGGAUGGAAGACCUCUCUCUCUGUCUCUACCUCUCUCUGUAACUCUGUCUUUCAAAUAAAUAAAAUAAAUCUUUAAAACAAAUAGAACAAACAAGCACACAGGAGGGUGAUGGCUUAAUGAGCUCCAUCCAGGGGAGGUGGGAGAGGAGAUGAAAAUAAAGAGCCCGUGGACUUUGAGAAGGCUCUCAACAGGGCGCUAGUCUACACUGAGGUCCAUGAGUGACAUGUGCAAGGUGACCACAUCCUGUGUCACCAGUCCUGGCCUUGCAACGUGGCUGCCUCCACUUGUUUCUCCACAGGGAUGAGCAGAGGACAGAAAUCAACACCAUAGGGCCGGCACCAUGGCUCACUUGGCUAAUCCUCCGCCUAUGGUGCUGGCAUCCAUAUGGGCACCAGUUCUAGUCCCGGUUGCCCCUCUUCCAGUCCAGCUCUCUGCUGUGGAGGACAGUGGAGGAUGGCCCAAGUGCUUGGGCCCUGCACCCACAUGGGAGACCAGGAAGAAGCACCUGGCUCCUGGCUUUGGAUCAGCGUAGUUCCGGCUGUAGCAGCCAUUUGGGGGGUGAACCAAUGGAAGGAAGACCUUUCUCUCUGUCUCUCUCUAACUCUGUCAAAUAAAUAAACAAAUAAAUAAAAUUAAAAAAAAAAAAGAAAUCAACACCAUAAAGCGUACACGAAGGAGAGGGUCCUGUGGCUGGCUUCUGGGGUCAGAGAUGAAAGGGGGGAACCGGACAGAUGGGUCAGCUCAGCAGCAAAUCUCAGGAGGGAAUGUGUGCCAAGAGGCCCAGUGGGAUCAGGUUUAAAGAGGGAAGCCUAGGAAAUCUCACACUCGUGGGAACAAGCCUGGGAGGGGAGCAGCGAGAGCCUUCAGAGGUCCCUUGUCACUGGCUGUUCCUGUUUUGCUCCAGGCUCCCUCUUCUCGGGCUCUCUGCACCACUGCAUAGAGACAUUCAGCUGUUCAGGGGCAGGAACGACACAGUGGAGAGCUCUAGAGGUGGAGGUUGUUCAGCGAGGUGACUACAGGCACAGUUGCACGAGUCCUGUUAGCACGGCCCAGGAGAACACAGCAGGGUUAGAUUUUGAUGAACAGCAGUAACUUUCAGCACACACCCACACUGAGCUCCCAACCCUGGGUCUUGUUCUGUAGGAGAGGCUGGGGCCUGGGUCUAAGUUCUAAGGGGCCAUCAGUCAAGUAGAGGAAACCAAGGAUUGCAGGGUUGUGUGCUGAAUGCUCCAUCCAAACUCACAGGAGGCACCCACAGGAGGUGAUGAGGGGAGUGAGGGACCCGGGGCUUCUAGGGAAACGGAUGCCUGGACAUUUCUUCUACAUCACUCAUCAAUCAGAAGAAAGACCCAGAGUCCUUCUGCGCUGGGUCUCAGGUUCACCUCUCCAUUUUCACUUUAGAUGGCUCCAGAGCAAAAUGCCUUAACUGUUUCCCUCCUC